CAGGACAGCUCCGUGACACCUCCUAAAGAUACUCCUACUGCCUCUCCAACAACCCCGUUAUGGUCAUCCAAAAUGUUCCAUCAGCAGCCACUGAAGAAUGAGAAAGAUAUUGAUUCCGUGAUUGAUGAAAAAAGCGGUACCAGUGAAUCUAGCAACGAAAAUGAAUACAUUGUCUCUGAUGAUAUAAUGUUGAAUGAUGAUUUUUUUGUAGGAUUAGAGGAUUUAGAUAGGUUGAUUUCAGAAUCAGGUUUCUACAGUUUUCCCUCCCAAACCAAUAGUUAACAUCUGAUCAAGUGAUAAUCAGACUAGAUACAUUUUUUGCGACCCGCUUAAAUUAUUUUUCUUCUUUGCAUCUUUUUUUACCUUAAAAUGAUUAUUAGGGAGAUCACUAAAUUCAUGCCUAUACUCGAUCAUAUUGUGAUUACGAUAAACCAGCCAUAUUUGGUUAGAAUUAUAAUUUUUUUUCUACUUUUCAAGCCAUACUGCGACUCGACCUGUUAUUAGAGCAUCUCCAAUGGUUGGCACCCUUCAAGGGAUACUAAUUUUGACACAUCAGUCAAAAUAUUAUUUUUUAUAUUCACACUCUUCCAAAUCAUUUUUAGCAUCCUUCUUUCAAAAUACACUCCAAUGGUUGGCACUCCAAGAUGCCAACUUUAUUAAUAGAAAAUUAAUAUUUUAUGUAUUAUUGAGACCAAAAAUCUAUAUUUUAUGUAUUAUUGGGACCACAAAAGAAGUUGUCACCCUACUUUAUGGGUUGCCAACUUUUGACACUCUAAAGCCAACUCAUUUGGCACCCUAAUAGCACUCCAACAUCUCCAAUGAGGGUGCCAAUGAGAGUGCCGGUCCAUGGCAUUGGCACCCCUCAUCAGAGAUGCUCAGUGAGAGCUAUCCACUCUUAAUAUAAGUUUGAUGGAACAUGUACAUGUAUUUCUACCCAAGCCAAAUGAAUACAUGGAGGUGAAUAAUUAGGCUGCCAGACUUUUCCUACAGUGUAUAAACAUAAGAAAACAUCCGGUAAAAAAACCAAAACAUAUUACAUUAAAGAAGUGCAUCCUAUCAAAUACCAACAUGCCCUAAGUUAGGCAUUGGCGUCCUGCAGUUCCCAGAAAGAAUUAGGAAUACCGUUAGGCAAGUUUGUUUCUCAUUAUCCACUUAUAAUGGGACAAUUCAUACUCAAUACAAAUACAGCUUAGUGGGAUCCUCCGCCUUAUCAAUAGACCGUUUUUUAUUAUUUGACGCUUUAAUUUUUUACACAUAUUUUUAAAUAUUUUGAGCGGGUAGUUAAAAUUAUUAUUUUUUAAAUUAUUUUUUCUGAAGAAAAAUAUAUAAUUAAAAUUCUAAUUCACAAAAAAAAAUCAAAAAUAAUAUUUUUAACUACCCAUUCAAAACACUUAAAAAUAUGUGCCAAUCAAAACGUCAAAUAAUAAAAAAAAAGAGUAAUAUUUACUGUGGUCCUCUGUUCUAUCAUUCUAAUAGUUCAAACGUGCAUUCACUUUGAUCGAAAUUUGGGGAAAGGUCGGAGAAAAUGCAUAUAAUUUUUCUUUCUUUCAUCAAUUUAUUAUAAACUAUUUUAAUAAGUUAAUAAAAGAAAUCUAACUCACAUAUUUUUCAAGAAAUGUUUCAUGUCAUUUAUUCACCACUUAUCCAAUAAUGAUCACUGUAGAGAAUUUAGACUCAUUCAUGCUCGUUCACAAUAUUAUUAUACAUCUUCGUUCUUUCUUAAAAUUUUAAUAAUUUUUCACUCCAAUUCAUCGAAGGGGUCAUUUGUUUGCUUCUGAUUAUUGCUUAAAGUUAAAGAGUAAUGCGAACCGCAUCAGCCAUUCAGCUUAUUUGUUCCCAGAUUUUAUGUAAGCAUCAUGAGUCAGAUAAGGCUGAAUGAUUUAGUUUUGAAUCUGUAGCUUAAUGAUUCAGCAGCAACUGUGUGCAUAUAAUCGUGCACGUAUAAAUAACUUGUCUUAUUUUUUCUAACCUUUAUCCAAUUAUUUUUGAAUAUUUAUAUUAAUGUAUGCUUGCAAAAGAAUGUUAUUAUAUUUAAAUAAACCCAAGCAUAAAAAAAAAAAAUUAGACGUGGAGUUCUGUAUAAAUUUUCGAAGUCUGAUAUGGUUUAUAAUAUUAUAAUAUCAAAUGUUAAAUUUAGUGUAGUUAAAUUUUUUGGCUUAAAGCUAAUUAAAAUAUAAUAUUGUUAAAUUUUAGAAUAUUUUAUGUUAAACAAAUUUAUUUUUUAAUAAGAUUAUUGUAAAUUGAUUCAUUCAGAUGUUUCAAAAUUAUUUGUCAAAUGAUAUUAUUGAUUCCGAAUUCAGAUAACUUAUCAGAUCUCAUUCAGAUAGGAUAAUGAAUCAGGUAUUUUUAAUUCAGAUUUGCCAAAUGACCCAUAAAUAAACACAACCUUACAUUCAAAUGAACACAAAAGGGCACUAUAUUGGAAAUUUUCUAUGCAAAGUUUUGCCUACAAGAUGCUGCUAAAGCAAUAGAGAGAGGGAGGAAGGGAGAUAACGAAAUAUCUUGAAAUUUUAUUUUUGUAUUUCAAAGAACUAAAGAGAGAUAUUGAUAUUAUAUUUGUUCAACUUAAAGAAAAGAUGAUCGUACUCAACUAUGUAAGACUAUGAAUAUCUGUUAAAAUAUAGUGAUCCUAGUAAAAAAUCUUUCCCAGACACAUUGAGAAUUUAGGUGAAUUGAUCAAAUAACAUGAUAUCAUAGUCUAAACAACAUAUUAUAUUUUCUUAUGUCUGGUAAAAACUAGUAUCAUGCACAUUCCUUUGGCUUCUAAUUUAUGCAAAUAAUUGUCUUCUGAUUGUUUUUUCCAAUACUCCAGAGAUGUCUAAUUAUUUUUCAAUAUUCAAGAGAUGUGUGAGCAUAAAUGGCAUCAGGGACGAAGCUACAUAGGGGCCAGAAGGGGCCAUGGCCCCCCUAGGUUUCCAUAAUAUUGUAAUUUUUAUUAUAUAAUUUUGAAAAAAAUUGUAUUUUAUCUAUAUAUUUAUAUAAAUAUAAAAAUUUGGCCCCCCUCAAAAAAUAUUUGUUCGCUUCUAAAAAGUAUUUAACAUUAUAAAAUAAAGUUUUAAUUCUUAGAUUUUUCUAAUUUAUUGUAUUAGACCAAAUUUAAAAAUAAAAAUAAACAAAAAUAUGGAUAUAUAUACAAUUAUACUAAUUUAAAAGGAAAGAUCGUAAAAUGUGAUAUGUGAUAAAUAUAAAUGUCAAUAUGGUUCUUCUUUAAAAAUAAGAAUCUUUGGUGGAGGUCUUAUCCAAAAAACUUAUACCUCACUUCACUUCUUCAUUUUCAUAGAAUAGUUAGUCCUCGUGCAUUAUAAAUUUAUUAUUUAAUAUUAAUAUUGAUCUACUCAUCUUCAAUUUAAAUUCAUCAUCCAGGUAAUAUUUUUACUUAUUUAAAUUAUAACUUGUCGUCUUCUAAAUAAGUAUAAUAUUUUUUUUAAGUAUAAUAAACAUUUUUUUUGAAAAGGAGUAAGUAUAAUAAACAUAAUAUUUAGUUUUUGAGAUAUUGUCAAAAUACAAUUUCAUAUAAUGUGUGUUACUUGCUAAUUAAAGAUUACUAUAACCUAGAGUUAUUAUGAUGAGUUUCUUGACCAUUUAUACUUAAAUAUAUUUAAAGAGAAAUAGCUAAAUAUUUUUGUUAACACUAUUAUAAAUUUGAUUUCCUGAUUUAAAAGAACGCAAAGCUCUACUAUAAUUUUUUUACUAGUAUUUUUGUAUUUAUUUUAUAAUGAAUAUUUUACAGUGCUGAUGAAAAAUUUUACUGUAUCGAAGAAAAAAAAUUUUGGCCCCCCUUACAGACGUUUGCUGGCUUCGUCCCUGAAUGGCAUGCUUCAAAUUCUUCAAAUAAUCAAGUCAAAUAAUUUGUCUUGGCUUCCAGAUUAUUCUGCACUUUUCAGAUCAACUCAUGUGACACUUAUCUUAUUAUUUUGAGUAGGUGAUAUCGACUACUAAAUUUUAAAUAGUCAUUGAUGUAGAUUUCAUUUAAUAAUAUCAUAAUAAUAUGUGGGUAUACAAAUAAAAGACAAAUAUAUUUAUUAUGUUUAUUUAUUAGGCUAAUUAAGUGAUUUAAAAUAAAGAACCCAUAAAAUAUCUUAUUUAGUAUGAGUUUUGUAAUGUGUAAUACCAAUCGUAAGUCUUAUCAAAGUUAAUGGUGGUCUGAAAUAGCUACUAUAUAAGAAACAAUAUAGGAUUUUGGCCUCUAAUACUGUUCCAACCUCCAUUCCUCUAUUCCCCCAGUUUGAACGAGAUACAAUAAGAGGUGAAUAAAUAUAUAGAAGAUCCAGUCUCACAAUCCAGGUUAAUAUCUAAACUCUUAAAUCAAGCACACUUUUGUUCUACAGUUUUAUCCUAACCUUGAUAAUAUGGCAUAACAUUAUCCUUGGUUGUACAUAUUUCAAAACUAAGAGUUGAGAGACUUGUGUCACAUGAAAUACUUGAACCCCUCGAUUAUACAGACCUUAAUGUUUGUAUUUAUUGUAUCAAGGGAAAAUAGACAAAUAUAAGGAAAUUUAGUGCCAAUAGGAGUGCUAAGGACUAACAUUUGAUACAUGCUUAAUAUAAGUGGUCCAUUUUUUAAAGCUUCUUGGAAUGAUCAUCAAUAUUUUAUCACUUUUAUAGAUGACUAAUCUAAUUAUGGGUACUUGUAUUUAAUUCAUGAAAAAUCACAGUCCUUGGAUGUGUUUAAGGUCUUCAAAGCUAAAGUUCAAAAACAGCUCGGCAAGAUGAUUAAAGUUGUGAGAUCUAAUCGUGGAGGUGAAAUGGUCGAUAAGACAGAUCUGGUGAACAACAUCAUGGACGUUUUACAAAAUUCCUAGAGAAAUACAAAAUUGUCCAACUGUAUACAAUGCGUAGGCAAUCACACAUGGAUGGCGUUGUUGAAACACCAUUCAUCUAUUAGAGUCUUGAUUUCAACAAUAUCUGAAUUCUUCACCUUGUUACACUCCCUUCACAAAUCAUCUGACAUCUUUUAUUAUCAUUACAUUAAAAUUCACAACUCUUCUUUAUGCUAUACUAUAGUCCUCGACAACUUUUCUAAAUUCAUCGAUUGAAAUAAACCUCGUCCAUGGACUAAAUUUUAUGCCACAACUCUUCUUGGCAGAGUUUAAAAAUAGAUGGUCUUUUUACCUUUUCCUUACAUGUGUUGGCCUUAUUUAACCUUUCUUACAUGUUUUAUUAUCACUUGAGAAUGAUACAUACCUCAUGUUAUCAAUCGAUGAAUCAAAGUCUUCAUUCACAUAUUGGUCUUGAAUAAUGCUCCCCUUCUCCAUUAUAGACAACUCCCCCUUCUUCUUUUUCAAGCUUCAUGAAGUAUUCAAAAUUCUCGUCACUACCAUCAUUAAGGAAUUGUGAAUUCAUACCUUCACUAUCAUCACUAUUCUUAUCUCUCUCCACCCUCUUUUAACCACAAUAUCAGGGUCAUCAUCUUCACUAUUCACAAUGCCUUCAAUUAGUGCAUCCUUUGGUUCAUCGUCUGAUAUUAGAUCUUCCAUGUUAAGUGAUCAACAUACAAAUUAAUGAUACCAUAUGGUAGUCACAGUUCAACUAUUUCUCUCACUGAUUUUUCAUCAUACAAAAUCCUAACCCCUUUUCGAAACCGUGCUCAUCACAUUGGAAAUAAACUAACGAGUUCUCACAAUCGUACUAAAAAGAUUAGCUUAGUUCAAUAAGUGUUCACACAAAAUCACAUCAGAGUCCAUCUCUAGCGAAUUCUAACUAUUUAAUUAAGCUUUGGAUGUGGUGCAAAAUACCCACCAUAAUGAAUAUAGAUAGUAACUAAAGGCAUGCUGAGAACAAUAAGAAACAAACAAAUAAAUAACAAAUCAACAAAACUAACACAUGAAACCUAAACGCCACAUGCAUUAUAUGAACGAUAAACCCUAAUAAAUAAAGGUAAGAUGAAAUUGUACCAUGUUUAGUCGAUUAUCAGACAAACUUCUCCAAUUGUGGUUUGUUUUCUCCGAUUGACUUCUUCAAUUUAGGAGACUUGGGGAUUUGGAAUGGAAUCAUCGAUUAGUAAUGUGAGUUUUUGUUUAAUUAUUUUUUUACUAAUAUCCAAAAUUUCUUUUCAUUGCCACUGAUAUAUUUUUUACUUUCUUUUAAUUAUAUAUACAUAAUAUGCUACCGCUGUAUAUCAAUUUCGACCACCACAUGGAUUGGGCCACAUCACCAACAUGUACCCGAAUCAACAAAAAAAUAUAAAAAUAAUGAAAGUUUUUUUAAAAAUUUAUGGCGUGCAACAAAUAACGAAACAAGUGGCUUAAAUGAGACAAAAAAAAUAAAUCAGUGAACUACUUGAUAUAUUGGAACGUGUUGAGUGAUUUAUCUGAUAAUAAACCCUUUAUCAUUUAUUUAAGGUAUAUAGAGUUCGCAAUAUUAAUUUGUGAUUAGUGUUUUUGCUGCUAACAAGUAACAAGUUCGUUUGUAUUUUGAAGACUAACUUAAUUAUUUAAUAAUUAUACUUAUAAUACUCACCUUGAGAGGGAAACAACUAAUAUCUCAAUAAUAUAUAGUAAAUUAGUAUAAACAUAAUUAUGAGAUUUGUAACAAAAUUCCAACAAAUAAAUUUAUUUAAUAAAUCUGAAAUUAGAUUUAUUUUUCAAAUAUAACAUGUGUAUAAAGAUAAAACUUACAAAUCAAGUGGUUUAUAGCAUCUUAUUGUACAUUAUUAUAUUUUUGGACUAACUUCAUUGCACGAAUAUAAGACAAACUGAUUUGUAGUCGAGAUUGUUCCUAGCAAAAUUAUGCAACAUGCUAUAAAAUACUUUUAAAUUUUUAAUCCAAUAAUAUUUAUGCAAUUCCGUUUCCAUCAAAAUACAGACAAUUCUAUUAUCAUAAAAACACAGAUGAUAAAUCACUUCAUCAGACACAAAUGAGUAAAUUACUUCAUGUCUGUAUCAAAUAAAUGAGGUUAAUUAUCGAGUUGGUCACUGAAGUGAGGUUAAUGUAUCAAGUUGGUCACUGAACUGAAAACGGGAUCAAGAUGGUCAUUGAAGUCACCGUAAAUAUCAAACAAGUACCUCAAAAUAUGAGUUCAAACAUUAAAAAUAUGAUUUAUGGAGUUUAACACAUUAUUUUUAAAUGUUACCACAACCAACUAAAAGGUUAUGACUUCUAGUAUUUAUGAUAAUAUAUUUAGAUUUUAUCAAGUUUAAAAUAAAUAAUAAAUAAACUUGAUAAAAUCUAAAUAUAUUAUCAUAAAUACUAGAAUUUAUAACUUUUUAGUUGGUUGUGGCAACGUUCGCGAAUAAUGUGUAGAACUCUAUAAAUAAUAUUUUUACCGCUUGAACUCAUAUUUCGAGGUACCUGUUUGAUAUUUAUGGUGACUUUAGUGACCAUCUUGAUACUGUUUUCACUUCAGUGACUAACUUGAUACAUUAAGCACACUUUAGUGACCAAUUAGAUAUUAACCCCAAAUAAAUGUUAGUACUCUCUCUAUUUUAGUUUAUAAAAUACCUAAAAUUUUGACGUAUGCACAAAGAUCAUUAAAGUUAUUUUUAGAAAUUUUCUUGAACAAAAUUAAAUUAUCAAAAUUUUAAUUGAGUUGAAAAAAAUAUAUAAGUGAUUGUUAUAGUAGUAAUAGUGAGUAUUAAGUAUUGAGGCAAGUAUUAAAAUAGUGGUAAAUGAGUUGGAUAAGUAGGAGAGUGGGGUAGGGCGUGAUAACGUGUCCCUUAAACUAAAACUGACGGCAACUUCACCUCUCCACCGGAGUCUAAUUAGUAUUCUCCCAAAAGUAUAAAUACUUGCUUAUAUUCAUUCACCCCUAAUUCCCCUUCCCUGCCCUAUAUAUUUCUCUCUCUCUCCCAGCCGCAAAAUGCACAAUCUCUCUCCCAAUCUCCCCCAAAUCUCUCCCCUUAAUUCACUUUCUAAUAUGCUUCGAUUCGCCUCUCUUUUUAUUUUUUGAGACUUUUUUCCUUUCUUUUUCGUCUGUCACUUAUGGGAUCGGAAAGCUGCGGUGGAGUUGGUGUUAAGGACUACCGAUCCGGCGUCGUUUCAGUUGAUUUUAGCUCUCGGAUUGAUUCUUCUAACUCAUUUUCUACUCCCAAUGGUAUUAUAAUAUUAUUAUUUUCUUCUUAUGCUUUCGAAUACGAACUAUUUAUUCUACAUACAACUCAAUUGUUUUAUAUAUUUCUUCUCAAUUGUUUAUAUGUGUCGGACAAAAUUGAAUUUGUGUUUGUUUGUGUGUUGAAUCGUGAUGUUAAUUGUGGUUUGUGUCUGUCGAAUUGUGUUGGGGAUCACGAAUGAUGUUUGGAUGUUAACAUUUUUAGUUUAUGUUUAGUUUUGUAACCAGCUUGCUGGUUAACAUCGACCUCAACACCAGUAGAAGCUCCCUCGAUAUAAGAAUCAUGUUCAACGGGGGAUAACUUGGAGAAUUCAUACUUGAUGAUAAACUGAUAUGGAUAUACAGAAAUAGAUGAAAUGGAAUUAAAGGUACAAGAACAGAAUUAAGAAGACAAGAGAACUGGAAUUGAAUUAACAGAAUGAAAAAUACUGAACUGAAACAGAGGAAAUAGACGACUGGUUUCAGAUGUUUAGUCAGUUUUGUGUAAUGUACCUGGUAAAUUUCAGGUGUUUGUAGACUAAUUUGCAUUACAGCAUGGCCCUCUCUGCAUAUGUGUAUAUGUUUCUUCUUUUUAAUUUUCUUAAAAUCUACUAUGAGCGUAAAAAGAUUGAAGGAUGAAGACUUUGUGGAUCAUAUUUGCUUUUGUAUGUAUGUAUUGCGAAUCUAUGGUUUCUACUGCUAGUUUCACAGUAUCUAUACUGUCAACUUUUCUUAUUAGCAUUCAAGAACAGGAGAUGUCAUUGGACUUCUAAACUUUUAUAGACUAGUUUUUGUAUUUUUAUAUAAGUGUUUGUCAUUAAACUUUUAAACUUCUAUCGGCUAGUUUAUUUCUAAUAUAAUUUUCAUUGGUCAUAUGUUAGAAGCAGCCUGGAAUAAGAUGGUCAAUGGUGAGGGUUGUAAGAACCCAAUUGAAAAGGCAAGCAAGGAACUUAAUUUUACGAGAACAAGUAAUCCUCUUACAUUUCAAGACCUGGAGGCCAAGAAACAACGGAGGACAUCUGGGAAAGCGGCAAGAAAAUCACGGUUGUCACAACUGGAAGUUUCUAUGAACGAAACAGAGACUAAUGAUGUUGAGGGUAAAGCUAAGGAAGUUGGAUUUUUCUAUGGCAAGGGCAUUACUUUAGGUAAUAAAUAUAUCGCUUUUAUAUACCUGAAAAAAUAAUCUUGCAUAAAAAAAAACUUAUCAUCACAUUAAAAAGGUUUGGAUUUUGGAUCAUCGGAGAUGUAUCUAGUUUCCUAGGGAUGGUUUGCUAGUCAUUACUAGUUCAUACUAUUUUAUGCUACGGUGCUAUUUUGGUUUGAUAAACAAUGUUUCAGUUAUUCUUACAACAUGGUAUUAUAUUUAUGCAUCUCAUGUUUCUUUUUCUGUUUAUCUGCUGUAGAGAAAACUCAAACGUCUAGGCAGAAGACUAACAUAAAUGGAAAGCGGAAUGAUAAGAGGAAUGGCAAAGCUCCUAAGAGUAAAUAUGAUUCUUUCUCUGUCAAGACUGGAUUGGCGAGCUUCAGUUCUGCUGCUUUAGGGAAUAACAUUCUCGGUAUGGCACCUGUAUUUUGGGCAGUUCAGGAAGUAUAAUUAUUUUUUUUUUGUUAUUUAACUAGGAUCGGGUUCAUGUCAACUAACGAUUUUCGCAAUAUUGGGGCUACCCAAACCCAAAAGUUGAAUAAGUAAAUAUGCCCAACCAAAAAAUUACCCGAAAACUCCCGACACGAAUUUGGAAUCCAAAAAUUAAUUAGUAUCAACAUCAAUUUAGAAAUGUAAAAGAUCGAAUUCAAGAUAUGAAGUUACAGAUCUGAAAAUUUUGGAGAAGUGAUGACCCAAUUUCUGCAACCCGCAUAUAGACUUACCAAUCAGAUUACACUUAUCUGUUUAUAGAUGUAAACAAAUAACAUACCUUAUCUGCGUAUAUGUAUAUAUACACACCGAACAUGACUAGUCCAGAUACGUGCUUCAAUUCCAAGCAAAGGAGUCUACUUGCAAUAGAACAUAUAUAAAAAUAAGCCAGAGCAGAACUGAAAGAUUACGAAUUGAGAAUUGGGUCAGGUAGUGAGUGAAAUUGACGUUUUGGAGGGGAUAGUGAUUAGUGAGAGAGACCAGUUUGACAUCGAUCGAUAGGACGAGAGAGAGAGAUGGGGG
rnacentral:lncRNA from 1 species